UACGUAGGGCGCAAGCGUUAUCCGGAAUUAUUGGGCGUAAAGAGCUCGUAGGCGGUUUGUCGCGUCUGCCGUGAAAGUCCGGGGCUCAACUCCGGAUCUGCGGUGGGUACGGGCAGACUAGAGGACGGUAGAGGCGUGUGGAAUUCCGGGUGUAGUGGUGAAAUGCGUAGAGAUCCGGAGGAACACCAGUGGCGAAGGCGACACGCUGGGCCGUACCUGACGCUAAAGCGCGACAGCAUGGGGAGCGAACGGG
rnacentral:rRNA from 1 species